rnacentral:rRNA from 1 species
UGAGCGCUGGCGGUAGGCUUACACAUGCAAGUCGAGCGGUAACAGACAUUUUGAUUUUGCUUGCAAAAUCUCGUGCUGACGAGCGGCGAACGGGUGAGUAACGCGUAGGAAUCUACCUAGUAGAAGGGGAUAGCCCGAGGAAACUCGGAUUAAUACCGUAUACGUCCUUAGGGAGAAAGAGGGCUUAGCUUUGAUGCUCUCGCUAUUAGAUGAGCCUGCGUAAGAUUAGCUUGUUGGUGAGGUAAAGGCUCACCAAGGCGACGAUCUUUAGCUGGUCUGAGAGGACGAUCAGCCACAUUGGGACUGAGACACGGCCCAGACUCCUACGGGAGGCAGUAGUGGGGAAUAUUGGACAAUGGGCGCAAGCCUGAUCCAGCCAUACCGCGUGUGUGAAGAAGGCCUUCGGGUUGUAAAGCACUUUAAGUAAGGAAGAAAAGAGUAUUGUUAAUACCAAUACUCCGUGACAUUACUUACAGAAUAAGGACCGGCUAAUUCCGUGCCAGCAGCCGCGGUAAUACGGAAGGUCCAAGCGUUAAUCGGAAUUACUGGGCGUAAAGC